GUGAGGAAUAUUGGUCAAUGGGCGGGAGCCUGAACCAGCCAAGUCGCGUGAAGGAAGAAGGAUCUAUGGUUCGUAAACUUCUUUUGCAGGGGAAUAAAGUGCAGGACGUGUCCUGUUUUGUAUGUACCCUGAGAAUAAGGAUCGGCUAACUCCGUGCCAGCAGCCGCGGUAAUACGGAGGAUCCGAGCGUUAUCCGGAUUUAUUGGGUUUAAAUGGUGCGUAGGUGGUUUGAUAAGUCAGCGGUGAAAGUUUGCAGCUUAACUGUAAAAAUGCCGUUGAAACUGUCGGACUUGAGUGUAAAUGAGGUAGGCGGAAUGCGUGGUGUAGCGGUGAGAUGCAUAGAUAUCACGCAGAACUCCGAUUGCGAAGGCAGCUUACUAAGCUACAACUGACACUGAAGCACGAAAGCGUGGGGAUCAAACAGGAUUAGAUACCCGAGUAGUCC
rnacentral:rRNA from 1 species